rnacentral:rRNA from 1 species
AUUGAACGCUGGCGGCAGGCCUAACACAUGCAAGUCGAGCGGAUGAAGGGAGCUUGCUCCUGGAUUCAGCGGCGGACGGGUGAGUAAUGCCUAGGAAUCUGCCUGGUAGUGGGGGAUAACGUCCGGAAACGGGCGCUAAUACCGCAUACGUCCUGAGGGAGAAAGUGGGGGAUCUUCGGACCUCACGCUAUCAGAUGAGCCUAGGUCGGAUUAGCUAGUUGGUGGGGUAAAGGCCUACCAAGGCGACGAUCCGUAACUGGUCUGAGAGGAUGAUCAGUCACACUGGAACUGAGACACGGUCCAGGCUCCUACGGGAGGCAGCAGUGGGGAAUAUUGGACAAUGGGCGAAAGCCUGCUCCAGCCAUGCCGCGUGUGUGAAGAAGGUCUUCGGAUUGUAAAGCACUUUAAGUUGGGAGGAAGGGCAGUAAGUUAAUACCUUGCUGUUUUGACGUUACCAACAGAAUAAGCACCGGCGAACUUCGU